AUUGAACGCUGGCGGCAGGCUUAACACAUGCAAGUCGAGCGGGGACUUCGGUCCUAGCGGCGAACGGGUGAGAAAUGCUUGGGAAUCUGCCCAGUAGCGGGGGAUAACGUUUCGAAAGGAACGCUAAUACCGCAUACGCCCUACGGGGGAAAGGGGGGGAUCUUCGGGCCUCUCACUAUUGGAUGAGCCCAAGUCGGAUUAGCUAGUUGGUGGGGUAAAGGCCUACCAAGGCGACGAUCCGUAGCUGGUCUGAGAGGAUGAUCAGCCACACUGGAACUGAGACACGGUCCAGACUCCUACGGGAGGCAGCAGUGGGGAAUAUUGGACAAUGGGCGAAAGCCUGAUCCAGCCAUGCCGCGUGUGUGAAGAAGGCCUUCGGGUUGUAAAGCACUUUAAGCGAGGAGGAAUGGCUGAGGGUUAAUAACCUUCAGCAGUGACGUUACUCGCAGAAUAAGCACCGGUUAACUCUGUGCCAGCCGCCGCGGUAAAAC
rnacentral:rRNA from 1 species